rnacentral:rRNA from 1 species
CCCUUAGAUGUUCUGGGCCGCACGCGCGCUACACUGACGGAGGCAGCGGGCAUGUCCUUCGCCGAGAGGUGUGGGGAAUCUUGUGAGUCUCCGUCGUGCUGGGGAUAGAUGGUUGCAAUUGUCGAUCUUGAACGAGGAAUUCCUAGUAAGCGCGAGUCAUCAGCUCGCGCUGAUUACGUCCCUGCCCUUUGUACACACCGCCCGUCGCUACUACCGAUUGGAUGGUUUAGCGAGAACUUUGGACCGGAGCUCGGGUGGUCAGCAAUGGCCGCCCGAGACAUACUGGGAAAUCGCUCCAGCUUGAUCAUCUAGAGGAAGUAAAAGUCGUAACA